GAGUAGCUGAGAUUACAGGUGCGUGCCACCAUGCCCAGCUAAUUUUUGUAUUUUUAGUAGAGACAGGGUUUCAUCAUGUUGGUCAGGCUGGUCUUGAACUUCUGACCUUGUGAUCCACUCGUCUCGGCCUCCCAAAGUGCCGGGAUUACAGGCAUGAGCUACCACAUUAUGGCAUAACACUUUUAUCGUAAUUAAUCAUCAUGAAAAUGCCAAUAAGCAGGUGCUAUCUCCAUUUCUCAAGGGAGGGAACUGAGGGUCACUGCCAUCUACCCAAGGCCAUCAUGGGAUUAAGUGAAGGUCCUUUGACCCCAGAAAUUUGACUUGACUUGAGGUAUUAAGUGGCACCCAUUGGGGGAUCCAUACUAUUGGAUUACAAGAAGAAAAAGCACCUCCACAGUAUAUGUGGGGUACUUGUUUUGAUUUUCUUUGUUUUUGAAUUUUUGCAAUUCUACUAGGUAUUUUUGCAAUUCUACUAGGUAGCCUGUGUUUUAAUGCCCAUUCUAUCUCUAACUAGCCUAACCCCAAGAUGCAAGUUUGAAAUCGAAAUUUAGGAAACAUGCAGACAGUCAGGGCACUGAACUCUCUAUUUUCUAAUCUUUAAAAUGGACACGGUUGUUCCUAGUUCAUGGCACUCUCAUGAGGCUCAAAUUAAGACAGUGGGAACAAAAGAGUAUUUUUUCCUUCCUUCUAAAUAAUUUUCUAAGUUAACUGGAGAAAAAAGAUAAUUAAAUUAAAUUUCCAUCCCUUAUUCUUAAGAGGAGAUCAAAGCUUGACUUCUGUAGUUUUAAAUUUGAAAAAAGGCACUUACUGGUCUAGUGCCUAUUUAUUCGCAGUUUCUGAUUGUCUCAUGAAUAUAUGUCAGCAAUUUCUUCACAGGAAAGCUGGUUUUUCCCCCUGCUGGUUGCCUCUUACAGCUAAUUGUAUUUAAGGGGGGAAAUUAGAUGUUUAGAAAUGCUCAUUGGCCCCCGACUCAUUAAUAGGCCCUCCUUACUCUAUUGUAUCCGGUAGAAGAGUUAUAAGUACGUCAUUCCCUCUCCUCUCUCUUUUAAAAGACUUUUGACAAAGACCAAGCCACAAGUACACACUGCAGAUCAUCAAAAGCCGGCACCAAUUUGGCUAAUGGUGUGUACUUUGUUUUCAGAUUCUCUUAAUACUUUAAGCACUUAACUGGAGCCUAGGUUCAUUUUGAGCUCUAGCUUGUGGUUUCCAGGCAAAAGCAGCCCAUCUGACUUUUAGUGCCCCUGUCUGUGAGUUGAUAAGACCGCCUGGAGUCUCUAAACUCCUUUAAGUGCUAAAUGUCAAGCUGGAAUUGGGUAUCUCUGGCCGAACAAUGUGUGUUGUUUUAAAAUGACUCCUUAAUAUGAAGAGGUUUCCAAGUGCACUAAUGUCAGGGGUAUUUAAACAGGGUAAUGGGGGUGUCUUUGAAAUGCCUUUUUAGUUGGCAACUUAAUAAUCUCCCUCUUGUUCAAAUAUUAUUUUCACCACAGUACAUCUGAUACUCUCCGAAAGUUAAACAAGCCAUUCAGGAAAAUGGGAUUGAGUUAUGACAAGCUGAACAGAAGCCCUGAAAGGUCAUGGGCUCAUUUCUUCAUUUAUGGUAAGACGUCCUUCUCACCUCUUUUUGUCAGUCCUGCUUAGGAGACAGUGAAG
rnacentral:lncRNA from 1 species